ACUCGAGUAGGGCGGGACACGUGAAAUCCUGACUGAACAUGGGGGGACCAUCCUCCAAGGCUAAAUACUACUAACUGACCGAUAGUGAACCAGUACCGUGAGGGAAAGGUGAAAAGCACCCCGACGAGGGGAGUGAAACAGUACCUGAAACCGAACGCCUACAAUCAGUCGGAGGCUCCUUGCGAGCUGACGGCGUACCUUUUGUAUAAUGGGUCAUCGACUUGGUCUCACGAGCAAGCUUAAGCCGUUAGGUGUAGGCGUAGCGAAAGCGAGUCUUAAUAGGGCGCAUGAGUUUGUGGGAUCAGACCCGAAACCGAGUGAUCUA
rnacentral:rRNA from 1 species